GUAGUGUGGUCCAGGUAGAGGGCUGGGUUCCCCUGGGUCCUGUAUGGUAGUAGGUACCAGUAGAGAGCUGGGUUCCCCUGGGUCCUGAUGGUAGUAGGUACCAGGUAGAGGGCUGGGUUCCCCUGGGUUCUGAUGGUAGUAUGUACCAGGUGAGGCUGGGUUCCCCUGGGUCCUGAUGGUAUGGUAGUAGUACCAGGUAGAGGCUGGGUUUCCCUGGGUCCUGAUGGUAGUAGGUACCAGGUAGAGGGCUGGGUUCCCUGGGUCCUGAUGGUUAUGGUGUAUGUACCAGGUAGAGGGCUGGUUCCCCUGGGUCCUGAUGGUAGUUGGUACCAGGUAGGGGGCUGGGUUCCCCUGGGUUCUGAUGGUGUAGGUACCAGGUAGAGGGCUGGGUUCCCCUGGGUCCUGAUGGUAUGUGGGUACCAGGUAGAGGGCUGGGUUCCCCUGGGUCCUGAUGGUAGUAGGUACCAGGUAGAGGGCUGGGUUCCCCUGGGUCCUGAUGGUAGUGGGGUACCAGGUAGAGGGCUGGGUUCCCCUGGGUCCUGAUGGUAGUAGGUACCAGGUAGGGGGCUGGGUUCCCCUGGGUUCUGAUGGUAGUAGGUACCAGGUAGGUAGAGGGCUGGGUUCCGCGGGGUUGACGAGUCAUGCGGCGUUGUCUAUUGUUUUCAUGCUGUGGGAGGUCAGACAGACAACAUUUGGAUUUAAAUGGUUUUUAUUGUCCUACAGAUUAUUUGUAAACAUGAAUCUCUCUUCUUUGUAUGUGUUACCCUACCUAUUCUAUUAAAAUAAAUUAUUUUACAUAUUAUUCACACGUCAGAGUUCUCUGCUUCAACUUCAGUAGUCUACCCUUAGUUGGGCUUGAGUGCAUCUAGUCCUAGUUGGGCGUGAGAGUGCGUCUGGGUUGGCUGGCAGGUGACUGGGGUUGGUUUGCUGCGGUUCUUGGGUGGGUUGGCUGGCAGGUUGACUGGGUUGGGUUGGCUGGCAGGUGACUGGGGUUGGGUUGGCUGGCAGGUGACUGGGGUUGGGUUGGCUGGCAGUGACUGGGGUUGUGUGGCUGGCAGUGACUUGUGGUUGGCUGGUUGGACGGGGUUGGUGGCUGAGGAGGUUGGGUGGCUGGCAGGUGACUGGGGUUGGGUUGGCUGGCAGGUGACUGGGGUUGGGUUGGCUGGCAUGUGAGGUUGGCAGUGACUGGGGUUGGGUUGGCUGGCAGGGUGACUUCGGGUUGGGUGGGCUGGCAGGUGACUGGGGUUGGGUUGGCUGGCAGGUGACUGGGGUGGGUUGGCUGGCAGGUUGUGGUUGGGUGGCUGGCAGGUGACUGAUGUUGGGUUGGCUGGCAA
rnacentral:lncRNA from 1 species